GACGAACCGUGCGAACGUUGUUCGGAUUUACUGGGCGUAAAGCGCGUGUAGGCGGCUUCGCAAGUUGGAUGUGAAAGCCCACGGCUCAACCGUGGAAGCGCAUCCAAAACUGCGUCGCUGGAGUCCCGGAGAGGAAGGUGGAAUGCUUGGUGUAGAGGUGAAAUUCGUAGAUAUCAAGCAGAACACCUGCGGCGAAGGCGGCCUUCUGGACGGUGACUGACGCUGAGACGCGAAAGCGUGGGGAGCAAACAGG
rnacentral:rRNA from 1 species